rnacentral:rRNA from 1 species
CAGCCGCCGCGGUAAUACAGAGGAUGCAAGCGUUAUCCGGAAUGAUUGGGCGUAAAGCGUCUGUAGGUGGCUUUUCAAGUCCGCCGUCAAAUCCCAGGGCUCAACCCUGGACAGGCGGUGGAAACUACCAAGCUGGAGUACGGUAGGGGCAGAGGGAGUUUCCGGUGGAGCGGUGAAAUGCGUUGAGAUCGGAAAGAACACCAACGGUGAAAGCACUCUGCUGGGCCGACACUGACACUGAGAGACGAAAGCUAGGGGAGCAAAUGGGAUUAGAUACCCCCGUAGUCCCUGUCUCUUAUAU